rnacentral:rRNA from 1 species
AUUGAACGCUGGCGGCAUGCUUUACACAUGCAAGUCGAACGGCAGCACAGGGAGCUUGCUCCCGGGUGGCGAGUGGCGCACGGGUGAGUAAUACAUCGGAACGUGUCCUGUUGUGGGGGAUAACUGCUCGAAAGGGUGGCUAAUACCGCAUGAGACCUGAGGGUGAAAGCGGGGGAUCGCAAGACCUCGCGCAAUUGGAGCGGCCGAUGCCCGAUUAGCUAGUUGGUGAGGUAAAGGCUCACCAAGGCGACGAUCGGUAGCUGGUCUGAGAGGACGACCAGCCACACUGGGACUGAGACACGGCCCAGACUCCUACGUGAGGCAGCAGUGGGGAAUUUUGGACAAUGGGGGCAACCCUGAUCCAGCCAUGCCGCGUGCAGGAUGAAGGCCUUCGGGUUGUAAACUGCUUUUGUCAGGGACGAAAAGGACCGUGUUAAUACCAUGGUCUGCUGACGGUACCUGAAGAAUAAGCACCGGCUAACUACGUGCCAGCAGCCGCGGUAAUACGUAGGGUGCAAGCGUUAAUCGGAAUUACUGGGCGUAAAGCGUGCGCAGGCGGUUCUGUAAGACAGAUGUGAAAUCCCCGGGCUUAACCUGGGAAUUGCAUUUGUGACUGCAGGACUAGAGUUCAUCAGAGGGGGGUGGAAUUCCAAGUGUAGCAGUGAAAUGCGUAGAUAUUUGGAAGAACACCAAUGGCGAAGGCAGCCCCCUGGGAUGCGACUGACGCUCAUGCACGAAAGCGUGGGGAGCAAACAGGAUUAGAUACCCUGGUAGUCCACGCCC